GUGGGGAAUCUUCCGCAAUGGACGAAAGUCUGACGGAGCAACGCCGCGUGAGUGAAGAAGGUUUUCGGAUCGUAAAGCUCUUUCGUUAGGGACGAACGUGCUCUUUGUGAAUAAUGAGGAGUAAUGACGGUACCUAAAUAAGAAGCCACGGCUAACUACGUGCCAGCAGCCGCGGUAAUACGUAGGUGGCAAGCGUUGUCCGGAAUUAUUGGGCGUAAAGCGCGCGCAGGCGGGAUAUCAAGUCUGUCUUAAAAGUGCGAGGCUCAACCUCGUGAGGGGACAGAAACUGGUAUUCUUGAGUGUCGGAGAGGAAAGUGGAAUUCCAAGUGUAGCGGUGAAAUGCGUAGAGACUUGGAAGAACACCAGUGGCGAAGGCGACUUUCUGGACGAUGUCUGACGCUGAGGCGCGAAAGCUAGGGGAGCGAACGGGAUUAGAAACCCGUGUAGUCC
rnacentral:rRNA from 1 species